rnacentral:lncRNA from 1 species
AUGACGAACACAAAGGGAAGGAGGAGAGGCACGCGAUAUAUGUUCUCCAGACCUUUUAGAAAACACGGAGUUGUUCCUUUGGCCACAUAUAUGCGAAUCUAUAAGAAAGGUGACAUUGUAGGCAUCAAGGGAAUGCAUACUGUUGAAAAAGGAAUGCCCGCAAGUGUUACCAUGGCAAAACUGGAAGAGCCUACAAUGUUCCCCAGCACGCUCUUACGUUGUUGUUAAGGGCAAGAUUCUCGCCAAGAGGAUUAACGUGCGUAUUGAGCACAUUAAGCACUCUAAGAGCUGAGAUGGCUUCCUGAAACGCGUGAAGGAAAAUGAUAAGAUAAAGAAAGACGCCGAAGAGAAAGGUACCUGGGUUCAAUUGAAGCGCCAGCCUGCUCCACCCAGAGAAGCACACUGUGUGAGAACCAAUGGGAAGGAGCCUGAGCUGCUGGAACCUCUUCCCUAUGAAUUCAUGGCC